AGUGAACGCUGGCGGUAGGCCUAACACAUGCAAGUCGAACGGCAGCACAGUAAGAGCUUGCUCUUACGGGUGGCGAGUGGCGGACGGGUGGGGAAUACAUCGGAAUCUACUUUUUCGUGGGGGAUAACGUAGGGAAACUUACGCUAAUACCGCAUACGACCUACGGGUGAAAGCAGGGGAUCUUCGGACCUUGCGCGAUUGAAUGAGCCGAUGUCGGGUUAGCUAGUUGGCGGGGUAAAUGCCCACCAAGGCGACGAUCGGUAGCUGGUCUGAGAGGAUGGUCAGCCACACUGGAACUGAGACACGGUCCAGACUCCUACGGGCGGCAGCAGUGGGGAAUAUUGGACAAUGGGCGGAAGCCUGAUCCAGCCAUGCCGCGUGGGUGAAGAAGGCCUUCGGGUUGUAAAGCCCUUUUGUUGGGAAAGAAAAGCAGCAGGUUAAUACCCCGCUGUUCUGACGGUACCCAAAGAAUAAGCACCGGCUAACUUCGU
rnacentral:rRNA from 1 species